GCGGAGGAAAAGAAAGCAACAGCGAUAGCCUCAGUAACGGCGAGUGAAGCGGCUACAGCUCAAAUUUGAAAUCUGGCCUCCUUUGGUGGUCCGAGUUGUAAUUUGCAGAGGAUGCUUUGGCAUUGGCGGCGGUCUAAGUUCCUUGGAACAGGACAUCGCAGAGGGUGAGAAUCCCGUACGUGGGCGCCUGCCUUUGCCGUGUAAAGCUCCUUCGACGAGUCGAGUUGUUUGGGAAUGCAGCUCUAAAUGGGAGGUAAAUUUCUCCUAAAGCUAAAUACCGGCCAGAGACCGAUAGCGCACAAGUAGAGUGAUCGAAAGAUGAAAAGUACUUUGGAAAGAGAGUCAAAUAGCACGUGAAAUUGUUGAAAGGGAAGCGCUUGCAGCCAGACUUGCCCGCAGUUGCUCACCCAGGCUCUCGCCUGGGGCACUCUUCUGCGGGCAGGCCAGCAUCAGUUUGGGCGGUCGGAUAAAGGCUCCUGUCAUGUACCACCCCUCGGGGUGGCCUUAUAGGGGGGGGCGUAAUGCGACCAGCCCGGACUGAGGUCCGCGCAUCUGCUAGGAUGCUGGCGUAAUGGCUGUAAGCGGCCCGUCUUGAAACACGGACCAAGGAGUCUAACAUCUAUGCGAGUGUUUGGGUGUCAAGCCCGGGCGCGCAAUGAAAGUGAACGGAGGUGGGAACCUUUCGGGGUGCACCAUCGACCGAUCCUGAUGUCUUCGGAUGGAUUUGAGUAAGAGCAUAGCUGUUGGGACCCGAAAGAUGGUGAACUAUGCUUGAAUAGGGUGAAGCCAGAGGAAACUCUGGUGGAGGCUCGCAGCGGUUCUGACGUGCAAAUCGAUCGUCAAAUUUGGGCAUAGGGGCGAAAGACUAAUCGAACCAUCUAGUAGCUGGUUCCUGCCGAAGUUUCCCUCAGGAUAGCAGUAACGUUUUCAGUUUUAUGAGGUAAAGCGAAUGAUUAAAGGCCUGGGGGGUUGAAACAACCUUCACCUAUUCUCAAACUUUAAAUAUGUAAGAAAUCCUUGUU
rnacentral:sRNA from 1 species